ensembl:lncRNA
ACCUCCCCCUGGUGAACCCGUGCUGACUGUUUUUAGAGUGUUCUGUAGGGACUAUCCCUGACCCAUCAGCAAGUGAGGAGCUCUGCUUGGGGAGCACAGUGGGGAGAAAAGCUCAUUCCUCAGGAGCCAGGAAGGAUGGGGGGAAGCAGGCAAACAGCCCAAGCUACCUUGCUUUGCAGCAGUUUCCCCAGAUGCCCCAACCGUACACAGAAAGCAGUCAGAGGCUGUGCAGACCUCUCAUGCUUACUUUGCAUUUUCCAAGUGGAAGACUGGGCAUGAGUCCAAAGCCAUAAUCUGAGCAAGGGCAUGUCACAGCACACGCCGGAGGUGUAAUUAGAAUUAUAUGAUGAGUGGGUCUCUAUAAUACUAUCUGCUGUUCACCUACCAACGAUUUUCAAUUUAGCACCUAAUGCAUUGUAAGUAACACAAACUAAAAAGAAACACGCUUUCUAGGAAGCUUGUAUUUACUCUUAGUUACACGUUGCUUUUGUUUUGUUGUUUAUUUUUUCAAAUAACUCUGUUUUCCCAGUGGGAUUGAUUUGCAUGCAUGUGUGUCUGCUGCUCGUGAAAUGGAAUUGUAAUGUAUGACAGCACAGGAAUGUGGCCUAAGCAGAGAAUAACUCUUAAUUUCUUUGUUUCAAGUGUUCUUUAUCCAGAGGUCAGUGGAAGUCCAGUUCUCUUAAGGCACAGCACACCAAGAAUCAUUGCUGUGCUUUCCAGAGAAGCUGCGUGUAGGAGGGAAGUCUAAGAGCAAGGGCUGUUCUACCCAGAGAGCUGGAGAGGAAGGAAACCACCUCUUGCUGGGGCUUCGGCUCCCCAGCACAUGGCAUCAGCAUCCCUCUGGGCCCCAGCUCCUGUAUGCUGGUCACCAGGUGUGAGCGUAGGGCUGCUGAGGUCAUUUAGGUGCAUGCUAAGGAAAUGCCACUUGUCCAUCUUCCAGGAAAGGCUGUGGUCACCAAGUGCCUCCCACACUGCUCGUGUUUGCACACCCCAGCAGCCGCUCAGUCCUGCCUGUCGCAGUCACACUCCAGCUUGCCUUCUGGAUUUCCCUGGGAGUGUGUGCUCAUCCCUGACACAUGGUCUGUGAGCAGGGGAUUUCGCCUCCCUUUGCAAAGCUCCUUCUUCCCAAGCUGAGCAGAUUCCGGCUACUUCACGGCAACCUGCUGGACUUUGCUGUGCACCAUGCACCCAUGCCUUAGACUCAAAAGGUAAAUUUUAUGAAGUCUAGAAGUAAGGAAAUCAGGAGCUGUGGGAUUCCACUGGGGGUUAGAAGGGCUGUGUUGAUGCAGAAGCAGCAGAAAGCCAGAAGGAGCAAACAUUUUGCUGUCCAAGCUGCCAAAUUCCACCCCAGGCAUCCAUCUCUAUCAAAGACACCCAAGAGAAAGGAACUCCGUCCUUAUUAUUGCACUGAGGUGUGACUUCACCUCCAUCAGCUCCUUUUUGGUGGCUGCCAUCUGCCCUGGCUGGAGGUCACUGUGGCUGUCACUCCCUGCUGGGCCACCACCAUGGCUGCCAAGGGCCUCUGGGUCAGACGUGCCCUCAGUGCUGCAUUUGUUCCCUCGUGGUUUGUAUUUCUUUCUCAGAAUGCCACUUUUCUCAGCUGAAUUCCCAACAAAGAUGAAAAAAAAGCAAGAGAGAGCUUUCAAGUAACAUCUCAGCCUUUCUGCAUAGAGCAGCCAAUGUGAUGCAGGGCAAGGAGGCCUUUCCAUGGGGCUGCCCGAGGAGGCACCCAUACAGGAGGUCUCUGUGGGGACGGGGUGCCCAGGAACAGAAGUAGAAGGUCUGCAUCUUCAGCCUGGUCUAAAAAAUGGUGUUGGUUUACACUCGUUGGGCUUAGUCCUGAGGAACACCUUCUGAAAAUCAAAACCCUGAGAAAAGGAUUUCAAUUUCAGUCAACCCGAGAAAUGGUGAAUUCCGUCAUCUCUCCUGAAGUGUGACUGGCUCAUUUGGCAACACGUGCAAAAAUGUCUACUCCACAUGAUGCUGUAAAUUAACCAAUACUUGUUCUGGAACAGCUGAGGUCUCAUCAGGCCUUCCAAGACACAUUUCCAAUUAAAUUCAUUUUUGAUACUCAGAGCACAUCACAA